GACAAUCAGGUGAUGACGAAGCAAUGGCUCUGGAUGAGACAUUUUGUACGGCUUUAGAGUACGGAUUGCCUCCAACUGGUGGAUGGGGUUUGGGAAUCGAUCGGCUGACCAUGUUGUUUACCGACUCACAAAACAUCAAGGAGGUUCUUCUCUUCCCAGCCAUGAAACCUCAGGAUGAACCAUCUGCCAAAGCUGCAGCAAAUUAGGUGUUUUGAGGAGCUGAAAUCUGAUAAGUAAAUUUAUUUUGGGGCUCUAAUCGAGAAUCGAAGAGGCAAUCCUGCGGUCAAAUUUUUGUUAUUACUUUUGCACCAGUUAUUUUAUUUUGUAUUUUUGGUCGUUAAAAGGGUCUUAUUAUGUUAUAUUAUACAACCCAUUAUAUGAUAAGAGUAGUGCUCUCAAGUACACACCAUAAAAUGCUCAUAUUGAAUAUAUAACAUACUUAUCAGCAAUGUUUUAAAACCCGGUCCGGCCCGGCCGGUUUAACCCGUUUGAUCGGGAACCGGUCAUUGAGCCGGGCCGGGUUAAGCAAAAAACCGGGAUUAAUGAUUCACCUAGAUUGACCUGUGGUUGGACCACAGUAAUUGUAGCGAACCACUGGUCCAAUUGCUUUAAAGCCAAAAUCGGGUUACUCUUAA